GACGAACGCUGGCGGCGUGCUUAACACAUGCAAGUCGAACGGAAAGGCCCUGCUUGCAGGGUACUCGAGUGGCGAACGGGUGAGUAACACGUGGGUGAUCUGCCCUGCACUUCGGGAUAAGCCUGGGAAACUGGGUCUAAUACCGGAUAGGAGCCAUUUUUAGUGUGAUGGUUGGAAAGUUUUUUCGGUGUAGGAUGAGCUCGCGGCCUAUCAGCUUGUUGGUGGGGUAAUGGCCUACCAAGGCGGCGACGGGUAGCCGGCCUGAGAGGGUGGACGGCCACAUUGGGACUGAGAUACGGCCCCGACUCCUACGGGAGGCAGAAGUGGGGAAUAUUGCACAAUGGGCGCAAGCCUGAUGCAGAGACGCCGCGUGGGGGAGGACGGCCUUCGGGUUGUAAACUCCUUUCGCUAGGGACGAAGCUUUUUGUGACGGUACCUAGAGAAGAAGCACCGGCUAACUACGUG
rnacentral:rRNA from 1 species